GAGGCGGCAUGAAAUGAUGAUGGAGUGCUCGUCCGAUUCACCGCCCACCGUGCAGCCCGGCCGGCCUUUGCGGCGGAUCCAGGCAUAUGCAUGGCUACCGGAGCAUAUCGGACUAGUACCAUGGAGUACCAUCUGGCUAGGCUUUGGGCAGUGGCCGGCACCCGUAUGAUGAGGCGCUGAAAGGUCGGUUCAUCCAUGGAGCGUGCGCGCGCGCGUGCAUGGACAGACAAUUGGUUGGACGCUAGUUCCGUCCAUGCUCGGAACAUGACCGACUGCCCGUCGAUCGGAUUGAACGGCACCAUGCUAGCUAGCUAGUCAGCUAGAAAGUGCCGCGACUCUCUAAUCUACUAUACCUACUUAAUUUGAGCCUCUUCUGUCGUGCAAAAAAAUGGUUUCCGCAUAACUUACUUGCCGGAUAGGCACGUCCGGUCGCGCAUUUGGGCCAGUAGGUGUCGAGACGACGAGAAGGGCUGGUGUCGUGUCCAUCACUCGUUGGGCGAUGAGGGUGCGUUGUCGCGCGCUCUGCUCCCUGUCAAAUAAGGCUAGUCAUAGUGGAAGUAACUCAGCUAGUGAUAUAACAUAUUUGCUUAUGUUAUCAUAACAUAGCGUUUUUAGCGCUUUUCAAGACAAGUUGAGUCUACAGGCUAAGAGCAUCUACAGCCUUAAAAUUAUUCUGUUUG
rnacentral:lncRNA from 1 species